rnacentral:lncRNA from 10 species
GAGACUGUUUUCUCCCAGUUUCUCAGUCGUUUUUUUGCCCAGUUAUAUUUUUCAUUUAUUUGACAAACAUUUAUUGAGCACCCGCUGUGUGCUAGGCCCCUUACUGGGUGUUGGGGACAUGUGGUGGCCAAGAUGGAGGUGAUAAUUUUCAGGGAGACACAGAUGCUAAGUAUCCAGUGACUGGAACAAGAUAAUGGCAGAUGGAGUCAAGGGCUCUGCAGGAAGGAAAGUGGGGCAGAGGUGAGUGGGAGCGGUCCUGCGAGGCCCCUCCUAGGAAGUGGCAUCUGAGCAGAGACCCCUGAGCCCAGGGAGUCAGGAGUAUGGUGGGCUGCAGUUUACUGGAUGCUCACUUUGCACCUGCUGGUGUCCUGCAUGCCUUAUUCUUAAAAUCCCAAUGAUGUAGGU